UAAUAGUAUGAAAGGAGAGAAGGUUAGCACUCCCCUUGAUAAGGAUGGAAGAGGUCCUAGUGACCUUUACAGCACGCAUAUGGUUAAGGCAUUGCCACUUACUUGUGUUAAGUAUCUGGUCACAAUUUAUC